rnacentral:rRNA from 1 species
UACCCGCUGAACUUAAGCAUAUCAAUAAGCGGAGGAAAAGAAACCAACAGGGAUUGCCCUAGUAACGGCGAGUGAAGCGGCAACAGCUCAAAUUUGAAAUCUGGCUCUUUUAGAGUCCGAGUUGUAAUUUGCAGAGGGCGCUUUGGCUUUGGCAGCGGUCCAAGUUCCUUGGAACAGGACGUCACAGAGGGUGAGAAUCCCGUACGUGGUCGCUAGCUAUUGCCGUGUAAAGCCCCUUCGACGAGUCGAGUUGUUUGGGAAUGCAGCUCUAAAUGGGAGGUAAAUUUCUUCUAAAGCUAAAUACUGGCCAGAGACCGAUAGCGCACAAGUAGAGUGAUCGAAAGAUGAAAAGCACUUUGGAAAGAGAGUCAAACAGCACGUGAAAUUGUUGAAAGGGAAGCGCUUGCAGCCAGACUUGCUUGCAGUUGCUCAUCCGGGCUUUUGCCCGGUGCACUCUUCUGCAGGCAGGCCAGCAUCAGUUUGGGCGGUGGGAUAAAGGUCUCUGUCACGUACCUCUCUUCGGGGAGGCCUUAUAGGGGAGGCGACAUACCACCAGCCUGGACUGAGGUCCGCGCAUUUUGCUAGGAUGCUGGCGUAAUGGCUGUAAGCGGCCCGUCUUGAAACACGGACCAAGGAGUCUAACAUCUAUGCGAGUGUUUGGGUGUCAAGCCCGAACGCGUAAUGAAAGUGAACGGAGGUGGGAACCCGCAAGGGUGCACCAUCGACCGAUCCUGAUGUCUUCGGAAGGAUUUGAGUAAGAGCAUGGCUGUUGGGACCCGAAAGAUGGUGAACUAUGCUUGAAUAGGGUGAAGCCAGAGGAAACUCUGGUGGAGGCUCGCAGCGGUUCUGACGUGCAAAUCGAUCGUCAAAUUUGGGCAUAGGGGCGAAAGACUAAUCGAACUAUCUAGUAGCUGGUUCCUGCCGAAGUUUCCCUCAGGAUAGCAGUAACGUAUUCAGUUUUAUGAGGUAAAGCGAAUGAUUAGAGGCCUGGGGGUUGAAACAACCUUCACCUAUUCUCAAACUUUAAAUAUGUAAGAAGUGUUUGUUACUUAAUUGAACGUACACAUUUGAAUGAAGCGUUAUUAG